CUAAGCUUGGUUCAUGUUGUAGUAUAUGGUUAUUUCCAAACUUACUAAACUUGCCAGGCCAGGCAAACACAAAACCACUAAACAUGAGAUUACGCGCACCACAAAAUCAAAUCAAACAGAACACCAAGAACUGGCGACCAAUGUCCUCGCAUGCAUGCCACAUGAGAUUUUAUUAUUGCACAUCAAUGUCCAUUUUUUGACAUGAUGGUAGAGUGCAACUCUAGUGACAAAGGACGCAAACACAGUGACUAUGAAUAAGAGACUUGCCGGUGCAGUAGGCUUUCUUGACGUGCUUCCGAGUGCCUCCGCACCAGUACCCACAAAUCAUUUUGCAAAGAGGGACGUCCGGUACAUCGAGUGUUUCGCAAUGCUCUGUAGACAACAUACAUACAUCAGUGAAACAAUUCCAGACUGAAAGGGUCCAAAGAAAUUCGUGCAGUUGAAUUGACAAUAUUCCUGAUAACUUGUUCUACUCCAGUUGGAAGUUAAAAGGAAACACAUACAUAGGUGUAGGGAAAUCAAUUUCAUACCAGCGUGAAUGCAAUUUCCUAGCAGCAUAAGCACCAUAAGGCAAAGCAUAAUAGUUUUCCUCUCCAUAGGAUCUGGCACAAACUUCUUGUUCUCCUUUCUAGUAUUUGGGCUUCAAGAAGCAUACAUGAC
rnacentral:lncRNA from 1 species